ensembl:lncRNA
AGUGACGUCACCGACUCGCGCAGCGGCGGUGCUACCCUCCGGGAAGCGGAGAACCAGUCCAGUGUCUCCUCCGCCGACCGCGUCCUUCGGCAGUGUUGUGUUUGUUUUUAGUGUGAAAACACCCUCAACGAAACACGAACGUUCGGGAAAUCUGCGAGUUGGUCUUAGUGGAGUUUGUCGGAGUUUGUAAGAAGUUGUGCUAGUUGUUGGGAGACAGAACCGAGGAGGAGGAGAAAUGUUGCUGGUGUUGUUUUGAACCAGCUCCAUUUUCCUCCGGAGAGAGCGGGGGGAGACAGAAGAUAGACAGUAGAAGGAAAGGAGAGAUGGCCGAAGCGCGGACAGACGAGGAAGAGGAGGGUGGACUGGAGACGUCGGAAGAACCAGUGGUUCGCCGACAACCGAGGCCAGGCGCCGGUGGAGCUACCACAAGGUCUACAUCUGUCAGUGAGGGACCCAGAGAGCGAGAGAGAGAGCGAGUACAAGACAGAGAGAGAGACAGAAGGCGACCGGAGAUCACCAUCCUAUCAGCGGAGCCGCUGUCCUCCACUUCCUGGUUCCCAGGGGCAUCUGGGGGAUUCCCCCCCCCCUCCUCCCGCCAGUCAGAUCUGGACCCCCACCAUCCCCCCCACCAUCAAGGUUUGGCCCACUGAAUGUCAACAUUCCUAUUGGAAAUCAUUUUGUUUUUAAUCCAACUUACUUAAUAUUCAAUUACAAUUGUAGCUAGUGACUGCCUGAUUACGAUUCCCAUAUCUGUGGCGAUACUUAUUUGAAUUUAGCUACACUUGUAGUAACUGUUUACAAAUAUACUAAUUAACUGAGCCUGUUUACAAUUCCCAAAUCUGUGGUGUUCCGUAAGUUUCAUAUCAACCCACACUGAGUGAGUCAAUAAAACUCCCUCAAGAUCACUUUGUCUAGUUUUUGCUUAUUAAGUACAUUUGAUAUGAAGAUAAUGUGUCAUUCCAUUUGAUAAUCUCAUUUAACUUCAAUUGGAGUGGAUUUAACAUAUAAUUUGAAAAGUGUGAUUAAUCGCAAGUUAAAUCCCCAAUACAAUGCGAUUAAUUGUGAUUAAAACAUUUAAUCGUUGCCCAGCCCUAAUCUUUUCUAAUGAUUUUUAUAUUUCU